GAUGAACGCUGGCGGCGUGCCUAACACAUGCAAGUCGAACGAAGCUUGACGGAUGAUUUCUUCGGAAUGAAACCAGAUAUGACUUAGUGGCGGACGGGUGAGUAACACGUGAGCAACCUGCCUUUCAGAGGGGGAUAACGGCUGGAAACGGUCGCUAAUACCGCAUGAUGUGUUCGGAUGGCAUCAUCUGAACAUCAAAGAUUUAUCGCUGAAAGAUGGGCUCGCGUCUGAUUAGAUAGUUGGUGGGGUAACGGCCUACCAAGUCUACGAUCAGUAGCCGGACUGAGAGGUUGAACGGCCACAUUGGGACUGAGAUACGGCCCAGACUCCUACGGGAGGCAGCAGUGGGGAAUAUUGCACAAUGGGGGAAGCCCUGAUGCAGCAACGCCGCGUGAAGGAUGACGGUUUUCGGAUUGUAAACUUCUUUUCUUAGUGACGAAGACAGUGACGGUAGCUAAGGAAUAAGCAUCGGCUAACUACGUG
rnacentral:rRNA from 1 species